CCUGAAAAUUGAUUGUUUCAAAUGUCCAAACAAAAUGUUCAGAUUAUUUCCAGGCAUACAGUAGUUUGUCAGAUAAUAAGAUCUUACAUUUGCAAACCAUGUUAGGAAUCACUUCAGCUGUCAUUGCUUAGUGGUACUUAAGGUGAAAUGAGGCAACUUUUAAAUAGCACAAAGAAAGAUUGCAUAAUAAUUUAGGUCAAAAAGUGAAUAACAUCACGUAACCAAGAUGUUAGAUGAACAAAUCUAGAACAGCAAAUGCCAUGCAUUACUGUCAUCAUUCAAGAUACUUUUAGUUUUGUUGCAGUCCAAGUAAAGUAAAAUGUUAGCACUACUACCAGCAAGGGCUUCUGCAAGGAGGGAUUUUGAUGGCAAAGGAUACUUCAUAUUUUGACAGGCACUGUUUAACAUACGUUUAGAGAUAAAAGGUGCAAUGAUUGUAGAUGCAUUGGAAAAUUAAAGAACUAUUUCAUGAAGUGCAACAGCUUUAAUAACUUCAAUAGAAAGAAGUGAUCCCUGCCCACUGAAGGAAAAAAUAUAUAUGUAUUUUUUAAUUAAGUAGGUGCUACAUACCAGCUUGGCCAUGUGUCUUUGGCUGCUGAAAGAGCACAUGCCUACCUAUCUCUUACUUUUAGUGAGAAUCUGUGCUUGGAUUCUGUGUCCUUUCAGCCUUUCAACAGCUGCCUUAGAGGAUGCAAGGUGCCCUUUGAGGGAAGCACUGAAGCUGCCUUGUUUACAAAGACAGCUCAUAGGACGACACAUAAUUUUGCAUCUAAUAAUUUUAUAUGUAGCUUCAGUUCCAGUUCAGAAUUGUUGCCAUGGUCUUCAAAAUUUUUAUUUUUUUCUUGCUGUAUCUUACUUUGUCUCUCCAACCUCUUUCAUGAAGACUUUACAUAAAAGUAUUACCAGGAUCAGCCUGAGAAAUAGCCUUAAGUGUUCCUUGGCUCCCAAAGUUUUCCUCAACAUCCCCCUAACAGCCUUGCAGCAUCCCAAAAUUAGGGAAUUUAAUCUACAGACAGAUCUGAGAUGUAGUUCUCUGCUGACUGAAAAUACUCAGACUUUGGUUUGGACUCCAGAAAGCUUUUUGAAGUAUGCCCCACUUGCACUCAGUUUGUUACUGACUUCAGGUCCUCCACAGCAGAGCAUAUUUCUGCGUCUGGUUGUUCUGGGAUUGGUAGGUCCUCAUUUCAGUUGUACUUGGCUACAUCAGAAGUGAUCCUCAUGCAGUAAUUCCAAAUUUCCUCUGGUGUCCCUGAGAUCAAGUCUGACUCAGUUCUAUACCUAGUCGUUAAAAUCAGAUCUGUUCUUUUUCUCUUUAAAACUGUCAUUGUGCUUCACUGUACUUUAAAGUGUUGCAUUCCUUUGAAAAGGGAGCGUAAAAAAAUGUCAUUUCAGGGUUCUAUAUUUGUCUGACAGUUGUUUCUUGUUGCAGAAGUACUCAUUUGCUAAGUUAAAAAGCUGUCUUUCCGUACACCCAGCGCAAGGUGCUCGAGCUGUUGGCACACACUGUUGGGUUCUACAGCUGUGAGGGUGCUGUGAGGCCUCUGCCUGCCUUUGCCAACCUGUCUUCUGUCACUCGCGUCCUCGGAGUGUUGCGUGGGCAGGUGACAGAUCUGAAUUCAUUCUGUGCAGGAGAAACAGGCUGAACAGUCCCAGGUCUCUCAGCCUUUUCUCAUAAGGGAGAUGUUCCAGGCCCUAAUUACCUCUGUAGCUCUUCCCUGCACUCUCUUAGCAGGCACAGAGACACGCUGUGAGUUACUCUUCAGAGGCCAAGAACUUCUAACACAGAGAUCUGCUCACCGUUCUGUGAAAUGCACCAGGAAAGCCUUAAUUUGGUCUCAAAGGAGCACCUAAGGAACUUAGAGCAGUUAGUACCUCUCCGCACUGGUGCUCGCUCAGCUGCUGUGACAGGAAACUGUGGCUGCGGGUGCACAGGCAGCAGCUGGCCCAGGAAAGGGGUGGACUGAAAUGGCGGAUGUAGCACAUUAUGGCACCGAGCAAACUUCCACAUCUUGCCGUCAAAGCAGCUCUAUAAUGUGUCUUGAGUGAUACUGUCUUCAAAGAUAUUUCCAGAAGAUGUGAUUGGAGUCACGUCAGUGAUUUAAAUCACACAGGGAGGAAGCCCCAGACUACCGAUCCCGUUUGGUUUCAAGCUUUUAGAGCCAAUUCUUGAUGCCGCUGAAGUUAACACUGUCUAUGGGACCAGAAGUCAGCUGAAUUGAACUUUGACUUUGAAGAUUAAUAUUAACCAUUGAGAGACGGAAAGAGAGACUAGAAAUCAAGGCUUAGACAAAACCUGUUCAGUUGAUGUGCUUCUUAAAGUAAUAUUGCCUGUGGGUUUCAGAAAAACCUGCAACUCUUUAUAUAAAAGCAGGGCUGAAUGCUUAGUUAAUGUAAAUUGGAGUAGCCCUCCUCAGAGGGCUCUGUCUCUUCAGAGACAGAAAAUCUGAAGUCUUUUUUUUUAUUUAACUUCCACGUAUUAAUGUGUCUUUUUUUGGCUUGUUCUUUAAAACAUAGAUCCCAAUGGUUGUAUUGCAAGAAAGGUAUGAUUUCAUCUCACUUUAGCUCCCUAUACGACAGGGAUGCAUUUUUUACUGUUUUGUGUGCUUCUAAAUCUGCAGAUGAGUGGGAGAGAAUUGAAUGAAGCUCGUGAGCUGGCCAUUUGCUUUGAGUUGAACUCAACAAGAGAUUACUCUUGGCAAAUCUUCCAAAGUAGUCAUCAUGCACAGGCCAUUGGGAAAAGUCGUAGCAUCCCACACUGAUGGAUACUGAUGGAUGUUCCCUCUUCGUGAGAGUGACAGGUAGAGAACUGGCAUAAGCAAAACACUGAGGACACCAAUACAUGCCUUGAAGAGGACAUGCUGAUCUUGUGCAUCACUGCAGCUUUUCCCAUUGUGAAUCCCCAGUAGAACAAAUCACCACGGAAAAGUCAACAUAUCCAGAAGUGAAAAUGACUGCUUUCUCAUAGUCUCAAAGCUGAAUCACUGGGAAAGACUGCUUCUGCCGUCUAGCUGUGAAGCUGUUCUGAAUUGCCCAGGUAUGGCUGGAUGUCUCAAUGUUUGUGGGAAGCCUGCUGCAUGUCACCAUCUGGAAACAGAAACAGGACGAGAGACUGGAAUUGCAGUAGGACAUCUGAAUCAGAAAAGGGAGAUGAAAGUCAGGAGUGAAGGCCUCCCGUUGCAUAUUCCUGUUGAAGAUGAUGAAUAGCUCCUGUGGGAUGCUGUAGGCUCCACUCAAUGUAUUUAUGGAAUACCUUCCAUUUACAGAGGCCACAUAUUUCUUCGUCAGCCCAUGAGGAUCAAGGGAAACUGAAAGAUGUGUAUGUGCUAACUCCAAAGCUGGAGUUCCUCAUACCAAGUAGCUCUACACACAACGCCAAAACAGGCAGACUCUAUGGGAAGGGAAACUCAAAGUCUGAGAGAGACCCGAUAUUGGUUGUGGCACUGCUGAAGCUAAUUAUGGCUGAUUAUGUGAAGAUAAGUAGUAAAGAGGCAACAGACGACUUAAUAUUGAAUCCUUAAGAAAUGGCUUCUAUUGAAUCACAAACAGAGUAUCCCUUCAGCCACCAGUAACUCAAACCCUUGGUAAAACCAACUCCUUGCUAAAUUCAUCACAAGCCACAGGUACAAAACCAAAAAGUCAACGCAGGGUGGCUCUCACAACAAUCUUCUUGUGGCAACACUUCACAACACAGAGCAAGCCUCUCCCAGCUGAAGAAAAAAAACUUAUCAUUACAGAAGCAGAAACAAAGCAUUAUGCAUACCUUGCUGCUUCCAUUACCUCAGAUACAAACCCUCCCCCAAAAAUGUAUUACUUCUCUAGAGCGGAGCUGGCUUGCAUUUGACUGCUCAACACCUGGGAAAAAGAAAUAUUUUGUUGCAUCUGUCCCUCUGGAUUUGGAUCAGUUGCUUUUAUGUGUUGCAAUGUAAGGAAAACUCAGCUCAGAUUCCGUCUGUGGUUUUCAGCAAGAAUACUGCUUUUCCCUUCUUCCCGCACAACUUUCCAGCCAGAUUGACUGAACUGCAGAAAGGUCAAAUGACUUACUUGGAGGGUAACCUAUGAGUCAGGAGCACAGCUAGCAUUGAAUCAAAUCCUUUCCUGUCUUCCAGUUCAGCCACUAGACAACACACAAUUGCUUUCAUUGACCAGAGAGCUCUAAUGAAGUCAGCAUUAGCUAGCAUGAGUCUCUGAACAGUGUUAGUAUUAGGAGGAGUCUCUGAAAAUCAGUCACCUUCCACUGGCAAUCAAUUUGACAAAGAGCAAACCUUGUGUCCCUUUCUUGACGUGCCUUGUGUCCUGUCUGUGCAUAUUGCCAUUUGCACACUUAGGUCAUGCAGCUGUGCUCCCACUUGUAUCAGGAGCCGUUGUACACAGCUCCAUUUGGAGGCUGAACUACAGCCUUUAUUCUCAACCUUCUGAUCUUAGGAUCUUCAAUGAGAGGUUAGCUGCCCCUCCUUUCCAGCUGAGAAGAGGGGAAAAGGCCUAUUAUUCUUUUUUUUGUUUUGAGAUCACAUUUGGGAAACUGUUCAGAAAUGCUGGACAAGAUAAGCUGAAUAGUCUGUUUUGACCUUAUACUCUACCAGUGUUUAGAUUUUAUUGACCUAAUAUGCAUCUGCACAAAUGCUAGUUGUCUAGAAAAUUUCCAAGAAAAAUAACCAGAAAUUAAGGCUGGAAAGGACCUUGAGCAAGCAUCUCUUGUCCUCACCUACACCAGGAUAGGAUUUAUCUACAUCAUUCCUACCAGCUUCAGGGACCUCCCAGAGCUACCUGUGAUAUCACUCAUAUUGUUAGGGUAGAUGUUAAGGAAAUCUUUAUUGCUUUAUUGCUCCCCCUUUUUGAAAUGAGAGUGUGGCACUUUCACGUAUACGAUGUAAAUCAACCAAAAAAUAGAGCCCAGGCCAUUUGGAAUGGCAUUACAAACUCAGUAAAAGUUACUUACAGGAGUAAAUGUGUCUUUAGCAAGAAUUCCCUUGUUCUUGUGGUGCUUCUUCUCUUUGUGCUAAAUAAUGCCCGUUUCUGCCCUUCUCCUAUUUUCAAAGAUUUUCUAAGUAUUAUUCUGUGAAACUGCCCGCACAUGUGAAGAAAAAGUAGUAGGAAAAAGAAAUAGUUAUCAAAUGAGACUGAAGAUCUGGCUUUUCAAUUUUCCAAAGCCAGGAAACUCGUACUGAAUCAUCUGACUCAAUUUUCUGUGCUGUGCUGUGCUUCAGUGCUGUAGCUCAUAAAGCACACAAGAUAACCACUGGUCAGAGAUCCUACAGUACCUCAGCAAAAUGGGAUGAAUGGAGAGUGACGUUCCUGCUAUAAAUCAUCAGCCCUAUAUGUGUUUAUGUGUAAUAGACAAGACUUGAGAAGCAGGGAAAUAUAGGACUAUUACGGAAUACCAGAAGGAACUUUUUAGAAUGUCUCUUCUACUGAUAACUGGCUAGCAUCUCAAGAAAUAAAACAAUAAUAAUAAGAAUAAGAAUAACAGUAACAAUAAUAAUAAAAACCACCUUUAAUUUAAAGUCAUCACGUAAAUUAGAAAUGAAAACAACUAAUAUUAAAUCAUCUUUUCCAUCCCCCCAACGCUGUGGAAUUGUUCCCUACAGCAUGUUCCUGAGUGUUUUGCCCAGUCUUCUCUGAAGUAGCUUAAGCAACAGUGUUUCCAUUGCUUCUCCUUGGAAUCCUACCCGACACUGUAGUAGAUCUCGCUAAUAGGAAAUGUUGCUGUAAAGCAUAAAUUUUCCUGCUCUCAGUUUCAUCUCAUUAAUCCCACUUAUACCUCCUUCUCCAGUCCUAAUCAAUUCCUUUGCCUUUACAUGCUUAUAUCCUCCUAAGACUUAUGAGGAAUUAUCAUAUCCCACUUAGAUAUCAUCCAGCCAAGAUACUGCAAAGCCCAUUCCCUUCAUUUUCCUUCAGCCCACAUCUAAGCCUUGGAUCAUUUUUUCCCCUCUCUGAAGUCCCUUCAGAUUGUCAUCGAGUUGCCCUCAAUUUGAGCUGAAGAGAGGUCUGGUCCCUAUACUGCAGCCGGAGACACAGAGAUCGGGUUUCCAGAACGCCAGCAAUCCCCAGCUUGCCGCAAAGUCAGAUGGAGACGAGUGGCCACGGAGACCACUCAGGAAGAAAAAGGAAAUAAAGAAGAGUGACAGUUUGCAGGGGAAGAGUCAUGUGAAAUAUCAGCAGAGCAGCAUCAGUGGCGGCACGGAGGGAAAAGCCCCGCUACAGAAGUGCCCCCGGAUCGUCACACGCCAAUGUCCGCGACCUCAUGAGCAGCAGCAACUCAGGUUAAGCGUGUGCUUUGCAGAUGGACAAAGCCCAGUCUGUGUACAGUUGUUUUUUGUUUUUUUUUUUUUCCUUGUGGCUGUAAAAUUCAGAGGUGGGAGAGAAACCUGGGCUGUAUCAUAGACUGCCGGUGGUCCGCCCCCUCCACCCAGCCCUGCAGACCGUCCAAAACAUUGUCAUUGCACCCCAGAAGGCAAGCAGGCCUGGGAUAGAUCCAGAACGGAUUACAACAUAAUCCAAUUCACAGGGAGGGGUAUUUUUGAAAGAGGAUUAUGUGUUUUGGUUUUUUUUUUUCUUUUUUUUCUGGCUGCCUGCCAGAAAAUAAAUAAAUGCUGUAACUCUCAUGUAAUGUUUUUAGAAGACAUGGCGAUGGAAAGAGAAGGCUCUUUUCCAUGUCCGUGUUAGAGAGCGGGAGGAAGAAAGCUGAUUUUUGCAGCAGCGUGCCAAGCAAUCUCAGGGUAUGCAAUAGAAAAUGCUGGUGUUUCCCACUGCGCAUUCAAGAACAGCAUGAAUCUGAAGAAAACGGUGCUUCAUUUCUGAUCAGAACAAUGUAAUAUGGGUGUUGGGUCUGCAUCCCAGCAUCAAAAGGCCUCCUCCUGAACCCUUUGUGACCUUCAGAGAGGUUUGCAUAAUUAUCUUGAUUAAAGGCACAGCACAAUUUUAGCACCAGGGACCAAAACCCACAAAUUACCGAGGCCCGCGUGUUUUGCAAAAUAAUACCGUUCAUGUGAUUAUUUGUUUUGUUCUAAUCAUUUCUGAAAUAUUACUCCAUUGCUUAGAUUUGAAUUGCUGGUUCUAACAGAUAGCCAGUUUGCAAAUAAAAUGUAAGUCCCUAC